rfam:Danio rerio chromosome 4, GRCz11 reference primary assembly.
GCUCGUCUAGUUCAGUCGGUAAGAGCGUGAUACCCUUAAACUCAGGGUCGUGGGUUCGAGCCCCACGUUGUGUG